rnacentral:rRNA from 1 species
AGUGAACGCUGGCGGUAGGCCUAACACAUGCAAGUCGAACGGCAGCACAGUAAGAGCUUGCUCUUACGGGUGGCGAGUGGCGGACGGGUGAGGAAUACAUCGGAAUCUACUUUUUCGUGGGGGAUAGCGUAGGGAAACUUACGCUAAUACCGCAUACGACCUACGGGUGAAAGCAGGGGAUCUUCGGACCUUGCGCGAUUGAAUGAGCCGAUGUCGGAUUAGCUAGUUGGCGGGGUAAAGGCCCACCAAGGCGACGAUCCGUAGCUGGUCUGAGGGGAUGUUCGGCACCCCUGGACCUGAGCACCGGCCCAGCUCCCUCCGGGAGGCGGCGGUGGGAAAUUUUGGCCAAUGGGCGAAAGCUUGCUCCAGCCAGCCGGCGGGGGUGAGGAAGUCCUCCGGGUUGUAAAGCCCUUUUUUUGGGAAAGAAAAGCGUCAGGUUAAUUCUCCGCUGUUCUGCCGGUACCAAAAGAAUAAGCACCGGCUACUUUCGU